rnacentral:lncRNA from 1 species
AUUGGGUUCAUACUGCAGCUAUAGUUAAUUAUAUUUCCUAAUGAUACAUUUACAAUAAAAAAAGGUAAGUGUUUUUUUCUCAUUAUGUUAAUACAUGUACUGCCAAUGACAAUCUUUUAUUCAUUAGCAAUACAACUUAUAGUAUUAAAUAUUACAAAUAUUCAAUAACAUCAGUGAAAUAUAUAUAAUACAUUUAAACAAUGAGUCAAAUAAUAAUAUACGUACGAAUACCCGUACAGGUUGCACUUUGUAAAUACAGCUGUUUCUCAAACCACGCCUCUUUUGGGGAGAUCUUGAAUAUUCAUAGAAAAUUAAUUUUGUUUACAUACGGGUUCCCAGUUAUGCUCUCUGUGUUCCAUAUCACAGAGACAUAACUUGGGAAUGUUACCAGUAAAUAAACAUGUGGAUAUUGUUUACAUUGAAAUCUGUGGUAGCCUUUCAUUCGAGGUAGUAGUAGUUAAGAAAAUAAGUGUUAGUUUAAACUGUUUAAAGUGCAUACGAACUUCCAAUUCUAGGAUAAGAUUUUUUUCAAAACUUCAUAGUAAAAGUGGUACAGUUUUAGCCGUAAAAGGAGUUCCUAUGGGAAAUUGCAUUGUCAAUAUUUACAGAAAUGCAACCUACAGCAGUACAGAAGAGUAUCAUAAAAUAUAACACAUAUCAAGAAUUCAUUUACUAAAUAAAUUUGAUUAACAAAGGUGUACAGAGAAAUUUAUAAUAGUAAAUGUAUAUUUAAAAAAAUCAAAUGGGAUCGUUCAUAAAGAAUAAAGUAUAUUAGGCGAACACACCAACGAGAUAGCACAUUAUAACAAAAAAUAAACUACACAAUAAAUCAAGAUCCAAAUUACCCACAGUUUAAAUUUCAUUUUUUUUAAAAAUAGAUAUAGGAAGAUGUGGUGUGAGUGCCAAUGAGACAGCUCUCCAUCCAAAUAACAAUUUAUAAAAGUAAACCAUUAUAGGUCAAUGUACGGCCUUCAACACGGAGCCCUGGGUCACAACGAACAAAAAGCUAUAAAGGGCCCCAAAAUUACUAGUGUAAAACCAUUCAAACGGGAAAACCAACGGUCUAAUGUAUGAAUAUUCAUAAAAAAGACAUGGGUGUACGUCAAUGAGUCAACUGUAUACAUGUAUAUAAACAAAAUACGUAGGUUGGUGACUUUGUAUCAUUAAUUUUUCUUUGAUUUUACACAGUUUUACUAAAUAUAUCUAGUGGAUGUUUGAACAAGAAAACAAAGAUUAAGUCGAUUGUGUUACACGAUAAAAUUUGAUUGAAAAAGUAAAUCAAUAAAUAGUGUUUGCUAUACUCAGCAUAUACACAUCUCUUAUUAAACAGAAAAUUCAGGUUUUAUCCACCAUUUACUACACAAGGAAAUGCAUGUACAAGUUCAGGAAUAUGACAGUUGUUUUCCAAUUGUUUGAUGCAUUUGAGCUUUUGAUUAUUCCAUUCGUUAAGGGACUUUUCAUUUUGAAUUUUCCUAGGCAUUCGUUAUUUUGGUUGUUUUACUUUUCCCCAGGUAUGGAACCUCAUUGGUAAGUUGUUCUCCCGGUUGAUGGCAUUGAAAAAUUCUAUCUAUAAAUCAGAUGAAUACAGAAUAACAGAGACUAAACUGAGUAGGUUUGUAAGAUCCAUCACAGGGAAUUGGCUCAAAUAGUCAUUUAUGCACUAAAAUAAAAAAUAAAAAGCAAUGCUUUAUAAAUUCCAUGCAUCCGAAACGCUUUUCUGUGUGACCUUCACCAGGAACGCUGAAUGCUGAAUAUCCAAAAGCCAAGGAUGUAUAAGAACCGAAACAUUUGAAAAUCUAUAUUACCAGAAUAUAUCUCAAAACAAUAAUUUCAAAUCCAUCUAUUCUCUACUUUGUCACAGAAUGAGUUGCAAACUUUGAUUCUAGAUAAUUUUGUGAUAUGAAUCAUUUCAAUACAGAAGUACUGACUACUAAACUGAUGAUAUCUCCGGGACUUAUAUUCCACACUCAAGUGUAUUGACCUGAUGCACUAACAAGUGAGAGCAACACUUUCUAUAGGGAUACAAACUAGAAAUAUAUCAAAACAGAUUUGAGGAUUUUCAAAUUUGUAUAAUUGUUCCGGACUGUUUUGUACUUUUGUGGCAAAUAUAGUUCUUUUUGUUUCUAGCGUCAUUGAUGAGUCUUUUGCGGAAAAAUCAUUAAUAAUAAGAUAAUUUUAUACUUACUUUUAUUUGAUCAUUAUAUCAUGAAUCUUUCUACAUAGAAGUACCAGUUAUGGAUCAUCUAGAUGAACAUGAGGUGGCUGUUCUCUCAGUCCACGAAACUGGUGGUUCACUUACUGUUAACUCUGAGGGUCAAGGAAUAAACGAGACAAAUACAAACAGGUACACAAGUAUGCUGCAUGGAGUGUAUUAAAGGGAGCAAACACUUUUGUUUACCUUAUAAACAUUUGAUCCAAUGCCCCAUGCUACCCAUACCAUAACGAGAUAUUCCGUCUGUACAACCUAACAAUGUACUUACCGUUGACGCCAAAGACUAAAAACUGAGUAACUUUCUUAAUUUUGCGAGUAUAUUCUGCCUAUUUGUUUUAUAUAGCUGAAUUGUUAAGUUUCAUCUUUAAACAUGGGGACAUAUAUUUUCGGUUAUAAUUUUUUUUUUACAUCCAAAAUGUGGUGCUUUUGAGGUAUUGUCUUCCCGUACUCUAAUUACGUGACACCUUUCCUGUAUAUGACACCUAUUCGUUUUAAAUCUAGGAAUCACACUGCGUAUGUACCAAAUGAAAUUUGUAAUGGAAGAAAAAAAUACAUAUAAAUGGAGAGAAGGUAGUACUAACCGAUUCUGAAAGAAAACAAUAAGUAUCAACUGUAACAUGUGUAAUGACAUUGCUUAAAAAACAAGCGGUAAAGCGAGAAAAAAUAACAAAACACAACUGAUAUAAACCUAGCUCUACCAUAUAACAUAUAAUACACGUGUUAGACUUACAAUUAACACAUGGUUUUUUAUCAUUGUAAUCGAUAAACAAAAAUUUAAACCCGAAAGUUAAGAAACAACCAAAAUAUACGUUCAAAUGUCGUUGAAUAAAAUUAUUUUUGUCUAGACUUUUUUCUAAAAAACCAAUCGCUACAUUAUUUUCAGACGGAACUGCCUUUGGUCCAUCAUAUUUUCUACGAUUGUGCUUCCAACAACUGCUGGUGAUUUACUUCCUGGUGAAAAUGAAAGUCAGCACAGUCGAGACGGAAAAAUAUCAUCUUUAGUUGCAUUAAAAACAGCCGUGGGAAUUCUGAUUGUUUUGAUGUAUAUCAGGUUCGGGUCUACAAGUCUUCAAGGACUUCAGAUAAAAUAUGACAUAGUACAAAUACUAAUAAUUAUAUUUCUAGUAAUUUCACUCUUUAUCUAUUUAGUAUUUAUUUUCGGUAUAUUGUAUUAUCCAGACACUUGGACAUAUUCAGAAUCAAAGAGAAAAC